rnacentral:rRNA from 1 species
UACGUAGGGUGCGAGCGUUGCCCGGAUUUAUUGGGCGUAAAGGGCGCGUAGGCGGUUGAUCAAGUCUGGGGUGAAAUCUUUCGGCUUAACCGGAAAAGUGCCUUGGAUACUGGUCAGCUGGAGGGAGGUAGGGGCAGUUGGAACUUCCAGUGGAGCGGUGAAAUGCGUUGAUAUUGGAAGGAACGCCGGUGGCGAAAGCGAGCUGCUGGACCUCUUCUGACGCUGAUGCGCGAAAGCUAGGGGAGCAAACGGG